rnacentral:rRNA from 1 species
GACGUAGGGCGCGAGCGUUGUCCGGAUUUAUUGGGCGUAAAGGGCGCGUAGGCGGAUCUGUGUGUCUGGCGUGAAAUCUCCACCACUUAACGGGGAGAGGUCGCUGGAAACUGCAGAUCUGGAGUUUGUCAGAGGACCAUGGAAUUCCAGGUGUAGCGGUGGAAUGCGUAGAUAUCUGGAAGAACACCGGUGGCGAAGGCGGUGGUCUGGGGCAAAACUGACGCUGAGGCGCGAAAGCCAGGGGAGCAAACGGG